CGUACACUCCUACGGGAGGCAGCAGUGGGGAAUAUUGCACAAUGGGCGCAAGCCUGAUGCAGCCAUGCCGCGUGUAUGAAGAAGGCCUUCGGGUUGUAAAGUACUUUCAGCGGGGAGGAAGGCGAUAAGGUUAAUAACCUUGUCGAUUGACGUUACCCGCAGAAGAAGCACCGGCUAACUCCGUGCCAGCAGCCGCGGUAAUACGGAGGGUGCAAGCGUUAAUCGGAAUUACUGGGCGUAAAGCGCACGCAGGCGGUCUGUCAAGUCGGAUGUGAAAUCCCCGGGCUCAACCUGGGAACUGCAUUCGAAACUGGCAGGCUAGAGUCUUGUAGAGGGGGGUAGAAUUCCAGGUGUAGCGGUGAAAUGCGUAGAGAUCUGGAGGAAUACCGGUGGCGAAGGCGGCCCCCUGGACAAAGACUGACGCUCAGGUGCGAAAGCGUGGGGAGCAAACAGGAUUAGAAACCCCGGUAGUCCCAUGAU
rnacentral:rRNA from 1 species